rnacentral:rRNA from 1 species
AUUGAACGCUGGCGGCACGCCUAACACAUGCAAGUCGAGCGGCAGCGAGAGUAGUAGCAAUACUACUUGUCGGCGAGCGGCGGACGGGUGAGGAACACGUAGGAAUCUACCCAGAAGAGGGGGAUAACCAAGGGAAACUUUGGCUAAUACCGCAUAAUCUCGAGAGAGAAAAGCUGCCCGCAAGGGUGGCGCUUUUGGAGGAGCCUGCGUCCGAUUAGCUAGUUGGUAGGGUAAAGGCCUACCAAGGCGAUGAUCGGUAACUGGUCUGAGAGGACGACCAGUCACACUGGGACUGAGACACGGCCCAGACUCCUACGGGAGGCAGCAGUGGGGAAUAUUGGACAAUGGGGGCAACCCUGAUCCAGCGAUGCCGCGUGAGUGAAGAAGGCCUUCGGGUCGUAAAGCUCUUUAGGUUGGGAAGAAGGGUAUUGAGCGAAUAACUCAGUACUUUGACGGUACCGACAGAAUAAGCACCGGCAAACUCUGUGCCAGCCGCCGCCGUAA